AACAACUGACCAUCAUGUCUUUUCUCCACUCAUACACAAAUUCAAACGUUUCACCUCAACCUUCCCUCCUCUAUCUCACAUCCGCAUCGGAAGUCGCUCCGCCGCACUAAAGCGGCCCAGACACCGCAACAAAUACUACCACCGGAAUCCCCUCUCUUCCCUAUUCCACAAUACAACCUUGAUUUUCCUUAUUUUUCCUCCUAUAGUCUGAAUCGAAGCCUAAAGAGCAAGAACCCUAAGAAGCCAAAUACACAAUUAAAUGUCCAUGGAUUCCCUCAAUCGAACCCAAACCAUGGGGGUUUGGUUCAAUUAGUUUUACGCUACAUCGGGGUGUUCCAUGACCAGGUGGAUUAGACGAAGCACAACAAUCUGCUCAUUUUUACCUUUGCCAAAGAGAUUUUUUAUACAUGCUCCCAACACUUGAUCAGCAUAGUCUAGGCGAUCAAGGUGGACAUGAAGAGUGAAGGUCAAAAGAGAUGAAUAUAAAAUUACAACUCUAGCAGUGGCCAUGUCAGGUUGUGCCCGUAUCACCUUGCCAAUUGCAUUGCUUAAAUUGUAAAAUGCUUCCACUUGCAAAAACUCAGGCAAAAUUUAUAUACUUGAAUCAGCAAAUUUGAAAUCCUUUCCAUUAACUGGGGCAGUACUGUCUUCGCGUCAACAAAUUCUCCAUAAUGUCUUGACUCAGUUUUACCAACCAUCACACCAUUGUAAUAAACAACGGCGUAUUGGCGUCUGCCAAACUACUUGAUAGGCAUUGUGUUCAAUGGAAAUUCUUUCUUGCAUCUCAGUCUUUGAUGAGAAAACAUUGAUUGUUCAACUGUAGACUACUGACCUGUCUCAUCAUUUGUAUUGGAAUUUUCUUUAGAUUGAGUUCAGUUAACAAUUGAACAUUGAUUAUUUGUGAAAUUAGACCAAGUAUUUAAUAAGGUAUUCCUUCAACCA